CAUUAUGAAAUGAUGCAGCAUCUAGGGAUGGUCAGUGGGGUGACACUGGCAUGUUAUUUUGGAUAAAGUGAUAUAAUAAUGCCAUUACCAAAACUAGUCAAAACCAUAUGCCGAGAUAGGGACAAGGUUCAUGAACAUGAUAGUUUUAAAUAUUAACCUAAACUUUAUAGCUUGCUCCAUCCUAAAGACACCUUUGUGCUAUAUAGGUUUAGCUUCCCCUGUUGAAAGGGA
rnacentral:lncRNA from 1 species